CUGGGGUCCUCCGGAGGCAAGCAGGUGGCAGGCAGCGAAGAGUGAGGGCUGGUGACGGGAGAGAGGCAGCGCUAUGCAGCGAUACUGCGGGGAUCGGAGGACUCAAAGUGGAGAACAGUUAACAGAGCAGGAACCGGCUGCAAAGAACACAAAAUAAACAACAAGGCAUAGGAUCAUGGAAUAGAUGUCUGAUGCCUUUGUUAAUUAAAAACAGUUACAACCAUGCAGAAACAGGUCAGCAGCACUCCUGAAAUGUGCAGAAAUACUGUACAGCGACAAAGAAAACAGGGUGCACUGAACUAUCUCUACAAAUAAUGGAAUCCACUCUCACUGCUGGUGCUCCUGUUCUGAGCUGAAAACAGAGAACAUCAGCCACACGUGGAUACGCUGCUCAGAUUUAUUGUGACUGCAAGCCUGGUGUACAGCAAGUAGGAGCAGUUACAACCAUGCAGAAACAGGUCAGCAGCACUCCUGAAAUGUGCAGAAAUACUGUACAGCGACAAAGAAAACAGGGUGCACUGAACUAUCUCUACAAAUAAUGGAAUCCACUCUCACUGCUGGUGCUCCUGUUCUGAGCUGAAAACAGAGAACAUCAGCCACACGUUGAUACGCUGCUCAGAUUUAUUGUGACUGCAAGCCUGGUGUACAGCAAGUAGGAGCAGUUACAACCAUGCAGAAACAGGUCAGCAGCACUCCUGAAAUGUGCAGAAAUACUGUACAGCGACAAAGAAAACAGGGUGCACUGAACUAUCUCUACAAAUAAUGGAAUCCACUCUCACUGCUGGUGCUCCUGUUCUGAGCUGAAAACAGAGGACAUCAGCCACACGUGGAUACGCUGCUCAGAUUUAUUGUGACUGCAAGCCUGGUGUACAGCAAGUAGGAGCAGUGCUAUAUUUGGAAGGAACAAGCCAGUGAAAAGAACCAACGUCAAGUUCAAGUUGACCUUGAAGGAUGAAUAAAACAACUAAACCUAGGCACUUCUCUUUGCUUUAAAAUUUAGCUUCAUGUCACUCCCAUAUAUUUAAGAGUAGAAUACUUGAACACCUUGAUACUUGCAAACCAAAUAAAAUAAAUGCAAGCUGGAA